UCCAAUAGUAAAUAUAUAUAAACAUAUAUAAUACGGGUAGUUGAUACUUGCUAAACUAUAAAAAUGUUGCCACAAACAAUAGCUGAUAUUGUAUACGUAUAUCAGUAAGUGAAAUUAGUUUAGGGCUCAUGACACUAUUGCUAGGAAAUCUAACAAUAGAAUGCUCCUAAAAAUUUAAUACUCUUCUACUGUGUAAUAAGCUGCAAUUUUGAUACCUAAAUAAAUCAUUUUUCAUUUUCAUUUCAUUUUUAUUUUAUUCAGUCAUGCAGAAAUCUUUAUAGGUCUGUAUCUCCUAAACCGUGCGUCGUAGAGCAAAAAAAAAUCAAAUUUCCGUUCCCCUUUCCCAAAAGCACUAUCAGAAAAGUGGAUUAAUUAACCACACCACACCACACAAACAUCCCCAUAAACCAGGAGCCAGGAGCCAGGAGCCAGCAGCCAGCGUCCAUAAAUCAGCCUGAAAGCUGAAACCAUCAACCAGGAGUGAACUACUGUAACUGUAACCUGUAACGGGCUUCAUCGGAAACCGGAUCGGAAGAGAUGAAUGACAGAGAUACACAUAGUAAUAGAUUAGCGUAAGUUGAGAUAGUGAAUAUAAUCAUUAUGGCCGAAAACGUUGUUUCAAUCUUACAUAUAUAGUCUCUCUCUCUCGCUCGCUGUCUAUGUCUCUGUCUCUCCUACAUAAUCGAUUCGCUCGCUAUUAAAGAGGCUUAGAAAUGUUUUAUCAAGACAAAAUAAUAUGGAGACACAACUAAAUGCAAUAAAAAACCGAAAAUCGAAGUUCGUCAUUGCGGGCGUUUUCUCUGUCAUUCUAAUUACAUCUUAGUAAGAGUAAAAGAGAAAGAUCUGUGAUGUCUGUUCUCAGUACAAAAUUUAAUAUUCAAGCCGUAGCCAUUUUGGUGGUGAUGGAGCCAAUUAAUAGAAGCUUCGAUAUCUGCACUAAAAAAAAAUAACAUCAUAGAAAUGCUAAUCGAUAAUGAAUACUUUAUGAUAUAUAAUAACUCAAUUAUUACAGAAAACAUAUUUUAUUAGUUGGUUAAAAACCCACAACGCACGCAUGCACAGCUUGCCCACCACCUUGGCCAGCUUGGCUACGGUUUGAGUAUCAAAUUUUGUACUGAGAAUAGACAACGGGUAAUUAUUGUAAAAUCGAACUCACAAAAUCAUACUGGUUGAUAAUAAUAUAUAAAGUUGAAAUCCUUUGUUAAUCGUACAUGAAAUGUGGAAUGGAAUGGAAUAUUAUAUCUAUGGUCUUUUAGUCUAUGAAAGUUUAAAAUCAUAGACUAGACAUCCAUUUCGUAUUCAGUCGCGACAACCGAAUUAUCGCAAAUUGGUGGGACCUUUCUCUUUUACUCUCAAUAAGACGUAAUAAGAGUGACAGAGAAAAAUGCCCGAAAUUGACGAACUUCGAUUUUCGUGGUUGUAGCCUAGUAGAUGUAAAAGUAAUAAGAAAAAAAAGAAAAGAAAAGAAGCAUUCUAAUAGAGUGCAGAUAGAUGAAAUGUGUAAAAAAUGAAUAGAUGUACUUGUGUUUUAUUUUAAUAUAUUUUUUUGUACUUAUAUUGAUAUUGAUGCUGGACAACGGGACGGACAAAAUGAAACGCACGGUGUGGGAAACAUCAAUGAUAUGAUAUAAAAAAAAUUGUUUCCUUGUUGAAAUACUUAAUAAAUAAAUAAAUAAAUAAAUAAAUAAAUAUUAAAAGCUUAAGUGGAGCCCAGACGGGGUGAUCAAAUCGACCGAUGAGAGAUUGGCGUCAAUAUCCAAUUGAAUCAAUAAAAUAAUAAAUUUUAGUUUUAUGGUGAUAUUUGAGCGCUCUAAAUAAAUAAAGAAUGCCCCCAAACGACAAAUUGAUACCAAUCUCAGUUUAUCGGUAAUAUUUGUCAUAAUCGGCGAUCGAAAUCGGCUCGCAGCAUGAAUUGUCGAUCGGACAAUUUGAUCAGAUGGGAAAAAAAUUGUCCCGUCUGGACUGCACUUUAAUAUGAUAAGGAAUCGAAAUAUAGUCUGUCAUGACAUUUCCGUCAGUGGAUGAGAGCGGAAAUUGAAAUAAAACAAAUGUACAGCCGCGAGUUCCAACUUCGAAGGCACCAUUCAGGCAGAAAAUCAUAGAGUACAAAAAAAAAAAAAAAAAAACUCACCGUUGACAGUGACACCGGCCGUCAAAAUCAAAUUUUUUCCUUACUUCGUUGAAUUUUAUUUUAAAAGAAAGUUUUUGAGACAUAAUAUAUGAAUAAAAGUACAGUAACGUCGUUAUGUGUGUCGUCGUAUGUGUGUAUGUGUUGCGUAUAAAUGUUUUGCGAGUAGGUACAUCGGUGCCGAUAAGAAACGGGCACAAAACGCUAGUUGAGAAUGACCGAUGAGGAAAACAGAUGAACACCACACAAAUGAAGAUGGUACGCCGGUCUGGAGGAGUAAUAAUAAUGGACAUAAUAAGAAACGAUUAUAUCCAUGGUACUUUUAAGGUUGCCACCCCUUGGUGCUUACGAAAAACUUACCGAAUACCGUAUAUAACGAAACGAUAUGCAAGAGAGAAACAGAACAGAACAGACAACCCACAACCGUGUGAUGUGGCGAAGGAUUACUAGGGGAGGGCUGACCCCAAAUAAACUGGGAUAAAUAGCCAGGAAAAAGGAGAAGAAGAAGAGUUAAUGCCUCGCCCGUCGGUCCAGUCCGUGGCAGAUGGUUUGGAGUGUCAGUUUGCAUGCAUGCGGAUAAUGAAUACAAGGAUGAUGGCAGCAAUGUGUGAAUUGCGGGAUUGUUCCUGUCUGGGAAAGAGACACGUAAACAUUGUUGAGCCAGACUGCUUCACACCUGUAAUAUGAGAGAAGGUACUAUAUUAAUUGUUUUAAAACAGACCUAUAUAUAAUUAAGUUUUUGGCAAAAAACGAUAAUAAGAGGAGAAAAAACAAACCUAACCUAACCUAACCUAACCUAACCUUACAUGACCUAACCUAAUCUGACCUAACCUUAUGUACCUUUUCUUUUUAUACGGUAAAGGGGCCGGAGUGUGUGUGUGUGGUUGGUGUGGACUUUAUGGUGUGGUGUAGAUAAGGUUAGGUUAGGUCAUGUUAGGUUAGGUUUGGUCAUGUUAGGUUACAGUACCUACAUACAUACAGUACAAAUAUAUGUAAUAUGCAUAAGUAUAUAUUUAUUUAGGUUAGGUUGUUUUUUUUCCCUCCCUCCUUCGUAUAACUAACCUCCCCCCCCCCCCCCCCCCCCUCCCACACACACGCCCUCCGGCCACUUUACCGUAUAAAAACAAAAGGUAGAUAAGGUUAGGUUAGGUCAUGUUAGGUUAGGUUUGGUA